GGAAAGUCGCACGGUACAGGGUGAUAGUCCCGUACACAAAAAUGCAUAUGUUGUGAGUUCGAUGAGUAGGGCGGGACACGUGACAUCCUGUCUGAAUAUGGGGGGACCAUCCUCCAAGGCUAAAUACUCCUGACUGACCGAUAGUGAACCAGUACCGUGAGGGAAAGGCGAAAAGAACCCCGGCGAGGGGAGUGAAAUAGAACCUGAAACCGUGUACGUACAAGCAGUGGGAGCACCUUCGUGGUGUGACUGCGUACCUUUUGUAUAAUGGGUCAGCGACUUAUAUUUUGUAGCAAGGUUAACCGAAUAGGGGAGCCGUAGGGAAACCGAGUCUUAACUGGGCGAAUAGUUGCAAGGUAUAGACCCGAAACCCGGUGAUCUAGCCAUGGGCAGGUUGAAGGUUGGGUAACACUAACUGGAGGACCGAACCGACUAAUGUUGAAAAAUUAGCGGAUGACUUGUGGCUGGGGGUGAAAGGCCAAUCAAACCGGGAGAUAGCUGGUUCUCCCCGAAAGCUAUUUAGGUAGCGCCUCGUGAACUCAUCUUCGGGGGUAGAGCACUGUUUCGGCUAGGGGGUCAUCCCGACUUACCAAACCGAUGCAAACUCCGAAUACCGAAGAAUGUUAUCACGGGAGACACACGGCGGGUGCUAACGUCCGUCGUGAAGAGGGAAACAACCCAGACCGCCAGCUAAGGUCCCAAAGUCAUGGUUAAGUGGGAAACGAUGUGGGAAGGCAUAGACAGCCAGGAUGUUGGCUUAGAAGCAGCCAUCAUUUAAAGAAAGCGUAAUAGCUCACUGGUCGAGUCGGCCUGCGCGGAAGAUGUAACGGGGCUAAACCAUGCACCGAAGCUGCGGCAGCGACGCUUAGGCGUUGUUGGGUAGGGGAGCGUUCUGUAAGCCGUUGAAGGUGACCUGUGAGGGUUGCUGGAGGUAUCAGAAGUGCGAAUGCUGACAUAAGUAACGAUAAUGCGGGUGAAAAACCCGCACGCCGGAAGACCAAGGGUUCCUGUCCAACGUUAAUCGGGGCAGGGUGAGUCGACCCCUAAGGCGAGGCUGAAAAGCGUAGUCGAUGGGAAACAGGUUAAUAUUCCUGUACUUGGUGUUACUGCGAAGGGGGGACGGAGAAGGCUAGGCUAGCCGGGCGACGGUUGUCCCGGUUUAAGCAUGUAGGCGGAGUGACUUGGUAAAUCCGGUUGCUUAUCAACGCUGAGGUGUGAUGACGAGCCACUACGGUGGUGAAGUAGUUGAUGCCAAGCUUCCAGGAAAAGCCUCUAAGCAUCAGGUAACAUUAAAUCGUACCCCAAACCGACACAGGUGGUCAGGUAGAGAAUACUCAGGCGCUUGAGAGAACUCGGGUGAAGGAACUAGGCAAAAUGGUGCCGUAACUUCGGGAGAAGGCACGCUGGCAUUAGGUAAAGGGACUUGCUCCCGGCGCCGAAGCCAGUCGCAGAUACCAGCUGGCUGCAACUGUUUAAUAAAAACACAGCACUGUGCAAACACGAAAGUGGACGUAUACGGUGUGACGCCUGCCCGGUGCUGGAAGGUUAAUUGAUGGGGUCAGCCGCAAGGCGAAGCUCUUGAUCGAAGCCCCAGUAAACGGCGGCCGUAACUAUAACGGUCCUAAGGUAGCGAAAUUCCUUGUCGGGUAAGUUCCGACCUGCACGAAUGGCGUAAUGAUGGCCAGGCUGUCUCCACCCGAGACUCAGUGAAAUUGAACUCGCUGUGAAGAUGCAGUGUACCCGCGGCAAGACGGAAAGACCCCGUGAACCUUUACUAUAGCUUGACACUGAACAUUGAGCCUUGAUGUGUAGGAUAGGUGGGAGGCAUUGAAGUGUGGACGCCAGUCUGCAUGGAGCCAACCUUGAAAUACCACCCUUUAAUGUUUGAUGUUCUAACUCGGCCCCGUGAUCCGGGGUGAGGACAGUGUCUGGUGGGUAGUUUGACUGGGGCGGUCUCCUCCCAAAGAGUAACGGAGGAGCACGAAGGUUAGCUAAUCACGGUCGGACAUCGUGAGGUUAGUGCAAAGGCAUAAGCUAGCUUGACUGCGAGAGUGACGGCUCGAGCAGGUACGAAAGUAGGUCUUAGUGAUCCGGUGGUUCUGAAUGGAAGGGCCAUCGCUCAACGGAUAAAAGGUACUCCGGGGAUAACAGGCUGAUACCGCCCAAGAGUUCAUAUCGACGGCGGUGUUUGGCACCUCGAUGUCGGCUCAUCACAUCCUGGGGCUGAAGUAGGUCCCAAGGGUAUGGCUGUUCGCCAUUUAAAGUGGUACGCGAGCUGGGUUUAGAACGUCGUGAGACAGUUCGGUCCCUAUCUGCCGUGGGCGUUGGAAGAUUGAGAGGGGCUGCUCCUAGUACGAGAGGACCGGAGUGGACGAAUCACUGGUGUUCGGGUUGUCAUGCCAAUGGCAUUGCCCGGUAGCUAAAUUCGGAAGAGAUAACCGCUGAAAGCAUCUAAGCGGGAAACUUGCCUCGAGAUG
rnacentral:rRNA from 1 species